CCAUUUGAUGUUGAGAAGCAGCAGACAGAAGAGAUGUCAGGCGGGAUUUUUUUUCCCUCGGUCCUGGCCGCUCUAC